GUAACAACGGAGGUGCGAGGGCUGUCGCUGACCUUUCAAAGGUCGUGCACGCCCAAGCGCUUUCACNCAAUCCAUCUCACCCCCUUUGUGCAUCACCGCGUGGGUCCCCUUUGCGGGAGGGCUUGCGUUUUCACAUAAAAACAUUUUGAUAGUGUAGAAUGUCCUUUUGCGGUCACACGCAAUCAAUACAACUUUCAACAACGGAUCUCUUGGCUCUCGCAUCGAUGAAGAACGCAGCGAAAUGCGAUACGUAAUGUGAAUUGCAGAAUUCAGUGAAUCAUCGAAUCUUUGAACGCACCUUGCGCCCCUUGGCAUUCCGAGGGGCACACCCGUUUGAGUGUCGUGAAAUCUUCAAAAAACCCUUUUUCUCAUAAGGAAAGGGAUUUUUUGGACUUGGAGGUUCAAUGCUCGCCUUCACUUUUGAAAGCGAGCUCCUCUCAAAUAGAUUAGUGGGGUCCGCUUUGCCNAUCCUUGACGUGAUAAGAUGCUUCUACGUUUUGGAUUUAGCAUUGUCCCUCGGAUGCCUGCUCCUAACCGUCCCAUGGACAAUGAUGG
rnacentral:rRNA from 1 species